rnacentral:rRNA from 1 species
AGCAGUCGCCACGGGAAUACGUAGGGCGCAAGCGUUAUCCGGAAUUAUUGGGCGUAAAGAGCUCGUAGGCGGUUUGUCGCGUCUGCCGUGAAAGUCCGGGGCUCAACCCCGGAUCUGCGGUGGGUACGGGCAGACUAGAGUGAUGUAGGGGAGACUGGAAUUCCUGGUGUAGCGGUGAAAUGCGCAGAUAUCAGGAGGAACACCGAUGGCGAAGGCAGGUCUCUGGGCAUUAACUGACGCUGAGGAGCGAAAGCAUGGGGAGCGAACAGGAUUAGAUACCCCGGUAGUCCCUGUCUCUUAUAC